CGAGAUCAAAGAAUGUGUGCUCACUACAUGGGAUUGUGAGGCCACCCAUUGGAUGGUCAUAUCCAUACUCUUCCUCUGCCUGAUGUAAUAAGUCUUGAAAUGAAGGUUGGCUUAACAGUGACACAGGAACCACGAAGCGCUUCUUUUCUUGUUCUUGCUCCCCAAUAUAAACUGCAAAAUAGCCUUUUGGUAGAUCCAUUGUUGAUGUGCGAGUUCCAUUUGAAAAAGACCUUUGGAGAAUUUGUUUUGCUUGAAGGAUCCGAGGCAUACGAAUACCCAUUUUUAUGAAGGUUGCUGAAGGAAGUAAAAGAUGCUGCAGAGGAGUUAUAGAGGAAAGUGUGCUGGUGCGUUGCCUAUCAUAUGCUUUAUAUAAUGGUUUAUUGAAGCUUCAAAUUAAUGUACAGUAGUUGAUAAGAAAGCAAUUUAAUUACAGAUAGGGACGUUCUGACAGAAUGGCAAUAUCAUGUGCUCUGUUUCUCAACAUGCAAGAAAGUAUGAUCUUACAUAUCACAACCAUAUAUUCAGAGAUAAAAUAAUGGAUUAAACUUGUAUUUGUAUACCCAAAAGAAUUAAUCAUGGAGGAAAACAUGUAUCGCCAGUAUUCUCUAGAGCAGGUAAGCGGUGAAGAACUCUACAAACAUCAUGAGCCCAUGUGAUGUUAAUGGGAGUGUGGCUCUGUUUCCUAACAAACCCAUAGUUCUGGCUAAAAUCACUGGGAUUUUCUUACAACAGGUGUGGCCUAUGAUGUAUUAUGUAUAUGCAUAUAAUUCAUCGCAUUGAUUAGGAAACCUUUCUAUAGGCAUCAUCACAUGUUUUUUUUAUUUGGAUGGACCAACCAAUCCUUGAAAUUUCUGUGAUCCUAUAUUGGCCUUUAGAUUCAUAAUUUAAUUAUGUAUUUUUUUCCUUUUUACGACACGAAAGACAAAGGCAUGUGGUAUUGAUCCCAUUUCCACCAUAUGUCACCAUCCUUCAACUAAUUUUCCAUAUAUCAUAUGGAUAUAUAAACCAUUCAAGAUGAAUAACACAACCUCAGAUUCACAGCUUUUCCCCAAGAAGUCGUGCUUUGAGAAUUUUCAUUCACCGUAAGCGUUUUAAAGUUAACAGACAAUACAUCCUUAUAAAAUGGCCAUCCUUAUGCCCCACAUCACUCAAGCAAAGGAAAUUCUUAAACGGUCGUUCUCAAAUGGAAGUAGCACAACAAAAUCUAUGGAUAUCCCAAAAGGCUGUUUAGCGGUUUAUGUUGGUGAGCAAGAGAAGAAGAGAUUUGUAGUUCCCGUAUGGUUGUUAAUGGAACCUACUUUUCAACAACUGCUAGAUCAGGCUGAGGAAGAAUUUGGCUAUAGUCAUCCAAUGGGCGGCCUAACUAUUCCAUGUAGUGAAUAUAUGUUCAUGGAUUUAGCUUCUCGUUUGGGCACAUUAUGACUUGUAUACAGCAUUCUUAGUUAUCAUGAGUAGUUAAAUGACCAGUAGAAUUUUCUUUUAUCAUUUGUAAUCAGAGCCGAUUGUCCCAUUAUUGUAAGAAACUUGAACCAGAACUAUUUAGAGUUUAUUGGAUUUUGUUUAGCGUUAUGAGAUAAGUAAAGAAACUGAUGGAAGCCAACUCUAUAUUUUCUUAUUAUUAUCGCAGGUUUACAAUAUGUUUAUAAAAUAGAAGAAAACUAACAAACUAGCUAAACAAAAGGAUAAACCAGAUAAACUAUCUGAUAGGAUAAGAAUCAAAAUAAAUCAAAUAAAUCCUUUACUCCCCCUCAAGAUGAGAAUGUAGGUUCCGAAUGUUCAUCUUGACACACAUGGAUUGUAGCCUAUCCGAACCAAGUGGCUUUGUAAGAAGAUCAGCAAGUUGAUCACGAGUGUGAAUCCAGAUGGGAGCUAUUUCUUCAGACUCUACUCUUUCACGAACAAAAAAGCAGUCCAUCUCCAUGUGCUUCGUUCUCUCGUAAAAAACAGGAUUGUGGGCGAUGUGACGAGAUGAUUGAUUGUCAUAGAGAAGUGGAAUAGCUGUAGUGAUUUUCACACCAAGUUCUGACAACAACCAUCGAACCCAUAGAAUUUCGCUGACGGUAGUGGCCAUCGCACGCUAUUUCGCCUCUGCUAAAGACCGGGAGACGACUGAUUGCUUUUUGGACUUCCAAGAAACAGGAGCCCCACCCAAAAGCAACAAAUAACGAGUUCUAGAACGGCGUGAAUACGGACAUCCAAGCCAAUCGGAAUCACUGUAUGCCACCAAAUCUGGUGACCCAUCUUUGGGUAGGAGGAUCCCUUGUCCCAAGCUUGUUUUGAGGUAUCGUAAAACACGCAUUGCUGCUCGCCAAUGAUUUGCUCGAGGAUCCGAAACAAAUUGGCUGAGAUCAUUCACUGAAUAAGUGAUGUCAGGACGAGUGGCUUGCAAAUAAAGUAGGCGACCUAUGAGACGCCGAUACAUGUUGACAUCUAUGAUCUCUUCGUUAUCCCCUUUAUCGAGCUUGAGAUUCUGUUCCAUGGGAAAUUUACUCGGUUUACACCCAAGCAUGCCCGUGUCUGCUAAGAUAUCCAUAGUAUAUUUUCGUUGGCUCAUAACUAAUCCUUCUUUUGUACGAGACACCUCAAUCCCCAAAAAAUAUGACAGACUACCAAGAUCUUUGAUACUAAAUCUAGCAUCAAGAUUAGAUUUGGUAUCUUCAAUUUUAGAGGUGUCAUUACCAACAAUAAUGACAUCAUCCACAUAAAUGAGCACAGCAACAAAACUGGUCUUGUCUGUGUAAAUAAAGAGAGAAUGAUCUGCAUGGGAGGACUUGAAUCCCAUGUCACAUAGGGUUGCUGUGAACUUGUGGUACCAAUUUCGGCUUGCUUGUUUUAACCCAUACAUCGAUUUCUUGAGUUUGCACACUCGUGAAUCACCUUCCUUACCAAAUCCUUGAGGCAUCUUCAUGUAAACGUCUUCCUCGAGGUCACCAUGUAAAAAGGCGUUAUUCACAUCUAAUUGGUGAAUUAUCCAGUUGUUCUUCACAACUAGAGUUAAUAAAAUUCGUACAAUGACCAACUUCAACCGGAGCAAAUGUGUCGUGAAAGUCGACCCCUUCCAUUUGUGUGUAUCCUUUAGCGACAAGACGAGCCUUGUAUCUUUCUAUGGCUCCGUCGGGCUUAAAUUUUAUUUUAUAAAUCCACUUUGAUUCUAUGGCUCGUUUUCCUUCUGGUAGAAUUAUAAGAUCCCAAGUAUCAUUAUCUUCCAAGGCCUUGAUCUCCUUCUUCAUGACAUCACACCAUUUUGGAUCAUGAGCUGCAUGCUUAAAACUUCUAGGCACAUCGUGAGUGACAAUAGCAGCCAAAAAAGCUUUAUGAGAACUUGAAAUUUUUUUAUAAGAAAUAUAAUUGGAAAAGGGGUGUACCGUGGAAGCAACAUGGUUGGCAGCGGGUGAUGCAUGGUCAAUCGAUGGGGUUAAAUUAACCUCGUAAUCUUGAAACCUCACCGGUUGAGCCUUUGAUCUGAUGGGCCUGGUGUUGUCCGAAGAAAGAGGCUCAUUAAUACCGAAAUCUGGGCUGGGAUAUUGGGCCUGUUGCACAGUGGAAUGAUGGUUCGUUGGACUUGAAUCGUGAGCUUGGUGCACAGCAGAUUCAUGGUGGGUUUCGCUAUCAUUGGUUUUGGUGUCAAUGCAAAAAGACGCAUUGGCUUUAGGGCUGUGUUGCAUGAUUUCCUCAUCAUCUUCUAGCUGAAAAAUAUCAUCUGGUUUCGAGUUGUCAUGUUCCUUUGCUGCAUUCAUAGGGAAUUGAUUUUCAACAAAUCGUACAUCCCUAGAGACUAUGAUCCUUUUGCUUUCCAGAUCAAAAAUCUUAUACCCCUUUGUAUCCUUUGGAUAGCCAACAAAGAUCCCCGACCUUCCACGUGGUUCAAACUUAUCUCCCCCUGUCUCAGUACUGCGAUGGUAGGUUAGGCAGCCAAAAACUCGCAGGUGUUCAUAGGAAGGCUUUCUUCCAAAAAGAACUUCAUACGGCGAAGCUCCUUGUAACACCUUCGAGGGCAUUCGAUUUAUGACAUACGUCACAGUCAACACGCAUUCUCCGCAAAAGGUUUUAGGAAGAUUAGCUUGGAAGCGAAGAGCCCUAGCUGUUUCUAGUAAAUGUCGGUGUUUAUGCUCAACCACCCCGUUUUGUUGUGGGGUAUAUGGACAGGAAGUUACUAAAAGAAUGCCUUUCUUUGCAUAAAAAUCAUGCAUAACAUUGGACACAAAUUCACCUCCAUUGUCGCAUCGUAUCCGCUUUAUGUGUUUUCCAAAUUGGGUUUUGAUCAUUUUGUAAAAUUCUUUAAGACGUGCUUACUUCACUUUUGUGUUUUAGCAAGAAAGUCCAAACUGCUCUACUAAAAUCGUCUACGACAGUCAAAAAAUAAAAGGCCUUACUCGUUGAAGGAGUUCUAUGUCUCCCCAUACGUCACAAUGCACCAAGUCAAAACAAGCAUUUGUUUUAAUUUCACUAAUAAGAAACGGUAGUGUGUUUAGCCUUAAAACAAGCAUCACAAUUUAAAUCAUUCUUACAAGAUGGAACAAAAUCUAAGCGUGAAACUUUCUUCGGUGAAGGGUGCCCGAGUCUUUUGUGCCAGGUCUCGAAGGUGGUCAAGAGUGCUUUAUUAGUCUUCACUACCCCCAUGCGAUACAAACCUUCUAUGCGGUUACCUGCUCCAAUCAAGCGCUUCGUCCCCAAUUCCUGCAUGACAAAGAAACCCGGGAAGAAAGUUACAACACAAUUAAGUUCAUCAGCUAGCUUCCCAACAGAAAGUAAAUUAUAAUUAAAAUUUGGCACUAAUAAAACUCCUUUGAUUUUGAUUCCUCCUGGAAGUAUAUGAUCACCUUCACCCAAAACAGGAAUUUUGUCUCCAUUUGGAAUGAUAACAGGCGUUCCCUUUGGGCUUUGGGUUUUGUUAUUAAGGAAAUCACUCCUAUGAAUCAUGUGUUCGGUGGCCCCUGUGUCCACCACCCAACCAUCAUACGUAUCAAUCCUACCUGCCAUGUUAGCUCUUGGUUGAGAUUCAGUUUUAGUUAUGCUUCCGCUUUCCUUGAAGUGCUUGACAAAGAGUUGAUAUUGUUCAUCUGUCAACCCCGAAAUUGGGCUAGGUAUUGCUUCAACGCAGGCGGCUUUUGGCACUCCUUUGUCUCGAUUACCACGCCACCACUCAGGGUAUCCUAUCAGCUUGAAACACCCUUCCUUCACAUGACCUUCUCUUUGACAAAAACUGCAUUUUUCUUUCUUUUCAUUAUCGGUUAUUGUUGGUUUUGGAGUCGCCUUGUUGAUUGCCUGCGUAUUCUAUUUCCACUGUGAUUGUCGCUGAACUUUUGUCUCACCAUAGUUGGCCUGAAAAGCUAAAGCUUCUGACCCCAGUCUCUUUGUUCCACCUAUGAUCACUCUCUGUUGUUCAUCUUCUGCCACUAAGUGUUAAGUGGCUGCAAGCGAUGGUGUUUGUUUCAUGGCUAAGACCUGAGUUCGAAUGACAGAAAACUCGUCAUCAAGUCCCAUGAGGAAUUCAUAAGUCCUCUCUUUCUCCUUUACUUCAUUCAAUUGUUUCCCAAUGGCACACUCGCACCGUGGCAAGGGUAGGACAACUUGAAUUUCAUCCCAAAGAGACCUUAGCUUCGUAUAGUAAUUGGAAACUGACAUACCUCCCUGUCGUGUUACGUUGAUUAACUGUUUUAACUCAUAAGCCCUCGGUGCUCCUUCCUUUUCAAAUCGCUCCCCUAGGUCCUUCCAGAUUUCAGAAGAGGUAUUGGCAUAUCUUACGUUGGUGCGAAUCUCCUUUUCCAUUGCAGUCGUUAGCCAACCCUUGACCAUGGCAUCGGCUCGAACCCAAGCCGUGUGUGUUUGAGAUUCGUUCUCUGGUUUCUUGAUGGUGUCGUCGAUUAGUCUCAUCUUGUUUUUCGCAAGGAGAAAGUUGGUCAUCUCCUGCUUCCACUCGUUGUAAUUGUUAUCAUUCAGCAUGUCAUUCACUUGCAUCUGCUUUGGAUAAUCAGAUGGGUGAAUGUAGAAUGGCGAAUUGGCAUCAAUGGUCUCCCCUUCUGGUUUCUUGCUUGUAUCACCUUUUUCUCCUGUCAUGGCUGCUGAGCGAUUUUGCUAUCCGGAGUGGAUAACCCGCUCUGAUACCAUAAAGAAACUGAUGGAAGCCAACUCUAUAUUUUCUUAUUAUUAUCGCAGGUUUACAAUACGUUUAUAAAAUAGAAGAAAACUAACAAACUAGCUAAACAAAAGGAUAAACCAGAUAAACUAUCUGAUAGGAUAAGAAUCAAAAUAAAUCAAAUAAAUCCUUUAAUAAGAAAUGCAGAAAACUGCAUCAUCCACUAUUCUGGCUACAAUAAUUUCUCAUACCUAGAUGUGCAUCUCUAAGAAGAUAAAAUCACGUCACAUCAGUUUCUUUUUUAAAAAACUGGUAUGCAAAAGGAUAAAAUGAAUUAAGAAAAGUCUAUAUGAGAACGGAUCAUGAGCUUGGUCGUGAUCGAUGUUCCUGCAUGUAAUAAAUUUAUAUUUUUGUAUUCAAAGGGCAUACCAUAUAGAUACACAUAUCAUGAAACAAAUCUAAAAAAGAACGCUGAGCAUAAAAACUAAUACAUAUAAUAGUAGAUGAGAAUGGGACUUUAGAUUACACAUAUCUUGAAAUAACUCCAAAAAAGUAUGUUGACGCCUAUGGAGCUCUUACAUUUGUAACUUGAUUUUCAUUGGAAGAGAACUAGAGGACCUGCUACAAUUUGAUAGAUAUCACUCGAGGAAUGCAAACUUAUUUAAUACAAAUAUGCAAGAGUUUCUUACAGAUUAUACUGGAAAUAGGCUAUAUAGGCAACCUGAAUGAAUCCGAUGAAGGGUUAUGGCUUGCAUUAAUCAUAUAUAAUUAAAGAGCCACAUACACAAUAUUUAUUUUUAAGAUCUCCACUUUUUUUUAUAGAUAGACCUUUAAUUCAUAUGAAGAUGGUCGAAUCCCUAUAGGUGUGUAUAUCUCCACACAUCUCCUCCUAACCCCUCGCGUAAAGCCUAAUCUAUAGUGAUAAAUGGGAAGUUUGGAGUAAUGUGGCAACAAAUAUUGAUUAAUUGUAGCCCCCCACAUGGAGUUUUUUUGCUUACAUGAUAGUUUAAUUUGGCAAGAAGAUACUCCUAGUAUUCUUUAGUUAGGUGUUUGAUACUUCAAAUCUACUAUAAGAAAUUAAGGCCAUUUCCCCUUUCCGAGUAUUAGAUCUGGAGAAUGCUUCUUAAGACUUGUCUUACAGUUAAAGCUUAAGAUGAUUCUAUCUUAGGAAACCUAAGAGAAAAUAAGUAUAAGAUGCUUAUAGCAAUCUAGAGACAAUCUUCAAAUCAAGUUAAAACUGUUCUUGAGAAAACUAUUUACACUGAAUUUUGUUUGGCAUUCAAGUCUACAUUAUAUCAUUAAUCAAUACAUAGUGGAUUUGAAAGAUGUCCGAAUUUGAGUUUCAAAACAACCUGGAUAACUGAUGAGCGUCACAUGUUGCAAAAAGGUCAAUGAUCAGUGCUAAUAAAAAAACUGUUACAACUACUAAUGCAAUAACUUGAACUCAUAAUGCUCCCAGACGAGUUGCGAGAUCAAGGAAUGUGUGCUCACUACAUGGGAUUGUGAGUCCACCCAUUGGAUGGUCAUACCCAUACUCGUCUUCGGCUUGAAAUAAUAAGUCUUGAAAUGAAGGUUGGCUUAACAGUGACACCGGAACCACAAAGCGCUUCUUUUCUUGCUCCCCAAUAUAAACUGAAAAAUAGCCUUUUGAUAAAUCCAUUGUUGAUGUGCGAGUUCCAUUUGACAAAGACCUUUGAAGAAUUUGUUUUGCUUGAAUAAUCCGAAGCAUACGAAUACCCAUUUUUAUGAAGGUUACUGAAGGAAGUAAAUCAAUCUGAUUAUUUUCUUUGUUAAAAGAUGCUGAGAGGAGCUAUAGAGGAAAGU
rnacentral:lncRNA from 1 species